rnacentral:rRNA from 1 species
AGAAGCUACUAAGGGCUUUCGGUGAAUGCCUUGGCGCCAAAUGCCGAUGAAGGACGUGGGACACUGCGAUAAGCCCCUGGGGAGCCGUGUACAGGCUGCGAUCCGGGGAUGUCCGAAUGAGGAAACUCGCUCGAGCGAACCUCGAGCAUCCUCCUACUGAACACAUAAGUUGGAGGAAGGUAACCCAGGGAACUGAAACAUCUAAGUACCUGGAGGAAAAGAAAAUAUUCUCCUAGUAGUGGCGAGCGAACGGGGAACAGCUCAAACCGUCCGUGCUUGCACGGGCGGGGUUGUAGGGUCUGGCAUAUGGAAGUUACAAAACAGUCAGUUAGCGGAAAGGUGUGGGAAAGCCUGCCAAAGAGGGUAAGAGCCCCGUAUGCGAAAACUGAUUGUCUUCCGCCAGAUACCUGAGUACUGCCGGGCACGCUAAUCCGGCAGGAAUCUGGGGAGUCCACUCUCCAAAGCUAAAUACAUUUGGCGACCGAUAGUGAACAAGUACCGUGAGGGAAAGGUGAAAAGUACGGCUGUUAGCCGAGUGAAAUAGAAUCUGAAACCGAAAGCCUACAAACAGUUGGAGGACUAACAGCGGGUUGAGCGCUGUAGAAAUACAGAUGUUCCCCGCUAUGUCUGACAGCGUGCCUCUUGGAGAAUGAGCCUGCGAGUUAAUCUCAGUGGCUAGGUUAAGGGAGUGACACCCGAAGCCGUAGCGAAAGCGAGUCUGAAUAGGGCGUACAGUCGCUGGGAUUAGGCCCGAAACCGAGUGAGCUACCCAUGGGCAGGGUGAAGCGAGUCUAAACGCUCGUGGAGGCCCGAACUUACUAAUGUUGCAAAAUUAGAAGAUGACCUGUGGGUAGAGGUGAUAUGCCAAACGAACUCGGAGAUAGCUGGUUCUCCCCGAAAUAGCUUUAGGGCUAGCGUCAUGCGUUUAAUACUGGAGGUACAGCACUGAAUGGGCUAAGGGGCUUACCGCUUACUGAACCCAAUCAAACUCGGAAUGCCAGUAUUCCAGAGCAUGGCAGUCGGACUACGGGAGAUGAGUUUCGUGGUCGAAAGGGAAACAGCCCAGAUCAUCAGCUAAGGUCCCAAAAUCUACACUAAGUGGGAAACGAGGUGAGGUUACUUGAACAACCAGGAGGUUGGCUUAGAAGCAGCCACCCUUUAAAAAGUGCGUAACAGCUUACUGGUCUAGUGACCUUGCGCGGAAAACUUAACGGGGCUAAGUGUAGUACCGAAGCUAUGAGUCUCAGCAUUUGCUGGGGCAGUAGGGGAGCGUUCCAUCAGCGGUGAAGGUCGAUCGAUAAGGGCGACUGGAGCGGAUGGAAGUGAGAAUGCAGGCAUGAGUAGCGUAUAAACACGUGAGAACCGUGUUCGCCGUAAAUCUAAGGUUUCCGACGCCAGGUCAUUCCGCGUCGGGUUAGUCGGGUCCUUAGCCGAGGCCGAAAGGCGUAGGUGAUGGACAUCCGGUCAACAUUCCGGAACCGCUCAGGACGAGUGAUGGGGGGACGCAACGAGGUAGGCCAGCCUGCUAUUGGAUGCAGGUGCGAUCUGUUUAGGCGUUGAGGCUGAUUGGCAAAUCCGUCAGCUGAGCUGAGACAAGAGCGAGCCGUAAGGCAUAAGUGGUUGAGCCUUGUUGCCGAGAAAAGCCUCUAAACGUUGAAUUCUGAGCGCCCGUACCGCAAACCGACACUGGUAGAUGGGUAGAGUAUACCAAGGCGAACGGGAGAACCCUUGUUAAGGAACUAGGCAACAUGACCCCGUAACUUCGGGAGAAGGGGUACCUUCGAGCGUUCGGGUAACCAAAGCGCUUGAAGGUCGCAGUGAAAUGGCUCUGGCGACUGUUUAACAAAAACACAGGUCUCUGCUAAGCCGUAAGGCGAUGUAUAGGGGCUGACGCGUGCCCAGUGCCGGAAGGUUAAGGGGAGAGGUUAGCGUAAGCGAAGCUUCGAACCGAAGCCCCGGUGAACGGCGGCCGUAACUAUAACGGUCCUAAGGUAGCGAAAUUCCUUGUCGGGUAAGUUCCGACCCGCACGAACCGCGUAACGAUCAGAGCACUGUCUCAACAAGGGACCCGGUGAAGUUGAAAUGGCUGUGAAGAUGCGGCCUACCCGCAGCAGGACAAAAAGACCCCGUGGAGCUUUACUGCAUCUUGGCAUUGUAUUUGGACAUGAUCUGUGUAGCAUAGGUGGGAGGCUUUGAAGCUGGGGCGUUAGCCUCGGUGGAGCCAUCAGUGAAAUACCACCCUGAUUAUGUUUAGAUCCUAACCCCAUUCCGUCAUCCGGAUGGGGGACCGUGCCAGGUGGGCAGUUUGACUGGGGCGGUCGCCUCCUAAAUGGUAACGGAGGCGCCCAAAGGUUCCCUCAGGUGGAAUGGAAACCCACCACAGAGUGUAAAGGCAUAAGGGAGCUUGACUGCAAGACCAACGCGUCGAGCAGAUACGAAAGUAGGGCUUAGUGAUCCCACGGUACCGAGUGGAAGGGCCGUGGCUUACCGGAUAAAAGCUACCCCGGGGAUAACAGGCUGGUGAGAUCCAAGAGUUCACAUCGACGAUCUCGCUCGGCACCUCGAUGUCGGCUCAUCGCAUCCUGGGGCUGGACAAGGUCCCAAGGGUCGGGCUGUUCGCCCGUUAAAGCGGUACGCGAGCUGGGUUCAGACCGUCGUGAGACAGGUCGGUCUCUAUCCGCUGUGGGCGUAAGGGAUUUGAGAGGAGCUGCUCCUAGUACGAGAGGACCGGAGUGGACUGACCUCUGGUGUGCCAGUUGUUCCGCCAGGAGCAUUGCUGGGUAGCUACGUCGGGCAGAGAUAACCGCUGAAAGCAUCUAAGUGGGAAACUCGCCUCAAGAUUAGAUCCCUGUAUUCUGGUUAACAGAGUAAGACCGCAGGUAGACCACCUGCUAUAUAGGCAACAAGUGUAAGCGCAGUAAUGUGUUGAGCUAAGUUGUACUAAUGGUCGAGGGCUGAAUCCC